UACAGAGGGGGCAAGCGUUGUUCGGAAUUACUGGGCGUAAAGGGCGCGUAGGCGGCCUUCUAAGUCGAACGUGAAAUCCCUGGGCUCAACCCAGGAACUGCGUCCGAUACUGGAAGGCUUGAAUCCGGGAGAGGGAUGCGGAAUUCCAGGUGUAGCGGUGAAAUGCGUAGAUAUCUGGAGGAACACCGGUGGCGAAGGCGGCAUCCUGGACCGGUAUUGACGCUGAGACGCGAAAGCCAGGGGAGCGAACGGG
rnacentral:rRNA from 1 species